AUGAGAGAUGGCUAGUGUUGCCAUUUUUUCAGCUCCGGUUUCACAUGCGGUGAUCAUGUGAAGUGAACGCCCAAACACCACACGCGGGUUCCACAGUCCAUAGCUCGUGCUUUUGAGAGGAGUUUCCCCGAAACAUGAGCCUAUCGGGGCCGUCCUACUGGAGCCUCUGCUACACCCGAAACGAGAAACAAAGUAUUCUCGAUGGGUUGGCUGCUGGCUACUAGUACUACUCGGUUAGUUCCAUCGCCUGGCCAUAGAGCACUUCGCCCCAUAGCGCAUACCCUUCUCCAUCUCUCGCCACUCUCUCUCCCUCUCUGCAAGCGUGCACGGACGCCAUGGACAAUCCUCCGCCCCCGCGGCGGCGGCCAACAACGUGGCCAAUCCUCCGGCGGCGGCAGCAGCCAACGACGUUGCCAAUCCUCCGGCGGCGGCAGCAGCCAACAACGUGGCCAAUCCUCCGGCGGCAGCACCUGCGGCUGCUCCAGCAGCGAACGACCCCGCUGCAGCGCGCGCCGCGCGGCACACCGCCUGGAAGAAGAAGGACAAGAAGCUUGCAAUCAUAUCUCUGGUCGUUCUGGCGAUCGUCCUGGUUCUGGUUGCGGUGCUGUGCCUCCAACCCUGGAAAAAGUAGAGAAUCUAUGCAUCAAGAUGCGUGGCGUGCUCUGAGUGCUUCUGUGGGAUCGAGGGACCUGAUCGUGUGCGUGGUUAAGGAGUACUACUACGUACGUCCAACCUAUAUAUGCAGUUUGUUCUUCGUACCAUCUAUGUAGUUCAUUGUGGACCAAGUAAAAUUUCAGAUUGGUAUGCCGACGGUGAACAUGCAACAGCUGCUUAAUUAGAGCUCACUCAAGUCAGUACUGUGCUCUGAUAAUAUAUAUUUUUUCUUCA